GAGUUUUUGAUGUCGCAGAUACUGCAUCAGGAACUGAUUGGAUAAUAAUGAGUCACCAUCAGUUCCUAAUGCAUUGCCUUCAGCAUCUAAACA
rfam:Cuculus canorus isolate BGI_N303 unplaced genomic scaffold scaffold131, whole genome shotgun sequence.